AUGGGGCGAUGUGCUCUUGUCAUGUCAGUCCUCACUUCACAGCUGACCUACCACAUCAUCUCCCUCAACCCUCCUGCCAGCACACUUCGUAACUAUAACAAGAUCCAGAGGGCUUUCCUUUGGGCGGGCACAGACAAGGCCACCGAGGCCAAGUGUAAAGUGAAUUGGCGCAAUGUUUGCCGCCCAACCGACCUUGGGGGCCUUGGUGUCAUCGACCUCACCAAGUUUGCGCGGGAGCUACGACUUAGAUGGCUAUGGUUCGAAUGGAAGGACCCAACUAAGAGGUGGGUUGGCCUUGACAACCCUUGCGACAAGAUGGAUUGGGCUCUCUUCUGCGCGUCUUCGCACAUCAUCAUUGGCAAUGGGGCCCGUGCACCUUUCUGGGAUUCACCUUGGAUCAAUGGGGUGGCGCCCUUGGACUUGGCACCGCUCAUUUUUGAUAUCUCCUCGAGAAAAAAGUGGAAGGUCCGAGAGGCCAUGCAUGGCGAUGCUUGGCUUGAAAAAAUUAGAUUACCCAUGGACUGGACAAUGGAGCACAUUACACAAAUUGUGACUCUUUGGGCUCGCUCUCGGUAUAUUCACCUUGUGGACGGAAUACAAGAUGACAUUAUAUGGAAGCAUACGACAAGUGGUCACUACUCCGCGACCUCGGCAUAUAAGGCUCACUUCCUUGGCGCCACACGAUCACCCAUGGUCCAGACGAUCUGGAAGGUUUGGGCGCCCCCAAAAGUCAAAUUUUUUGCAUGGCUUGCAACUCAAAACCGACUUUGGACGGCGGAUAGGCUCCAGAAGCGAGCUUGGCCAGAUUGCGGUUUAUGUCCUCUUUGCAAGUAG
rnacentral:rRNA from 1 species